rnacentral:rRNA from 4 species
UGUGGUGGCGAUAGCAAGAAGGAUACACCUGUUCCCAUGCCGAACACAGAAGUUAAGCUUCUUCACGCCGAGAGUAGUUGGUGGGAAACU